ACGAACGCUGGGCGGCGUGUUUAAGACAUGCAAGUCGAACGGAGUGAAGGUUGUAGCAAUACCGCUUCAUUCAGUGGCGCACGGGUGCGUAACACGUGAGUUACAUGCCCUGUAGUGGGGAAUAGCCCGCCGAAAGGCGGAUUAAUGCCCCCAUGGUCCCGCAGGGUAAAGGUGGCGCAAGCUGCCGCUACAGGAUUGGCUCGCGGCCUAUCAGCUUGUUGGUGAGGGGUAACGGGCUCACCAAGGCAACGACGGGUACCUGGUCUGAGAGGAUGAUCGGGCACACUGGAACUGAGACACGGUCCAGACACCUACGGGUUGGCAGCAGUCGAGAAUAAUUCACAAUGGACGAAAGUCUGAUGGUUGCAUAACGCCGCGUGGAGGAUGAAGGUCUUCGGAUUGUAAACUCCUGUCAUCGGGGGAGUAAGACCUGGCGGUAAAUAGCCGACAGGGUUGAUAGUACCCGAAGAGGAAGGGACGGCUAACUUCGUGCCAGCAGCCGCGGUAAUAUACGAAGGUCCCAAGCGUUGUUCGGAAUCACUGGCGUAAAGGGGAAGCGUAGGCGGCGUGGGUAAGUCAGGUGUGAAAUCCCGGGGCUCAACCCCGGAACUGCACCCGAUACUGCCAUGCUUGAGGGUUGGAGAGGUAGCUGGAAUUCUCGGUUGUAGCAGUGAAAAUGCGUGGAUAUCGAGAGGAACACUCGUGGCGAAGGCGAGCUACUGGACAACAUCUGACGCUGAGGCUCGAAGGCCAGGGGGAGCAAAAGGGAUUAGAUACCCCCUGUAGUCCUGGCAGUAAACGGUGUGCGCUUGGUGUGAGGGGAUUCGACCCCCCUUGUGCCGGAGCUAACGCGUUAAGCGCACCGCCUGGGAAGUACGGCCGCAAGGCUAAAACUCAAAGAAAUUGACGGGGACCCGCACAAGCGGUGGAGUAUGUGGCUUAAUUCGAUGCAACGCGGAAGAACCUUACCAAGGCUUGACAUGCAUCUCUAAGCGCGUGAAAGCGCGUGACUCUUCGGAGGAUUUGCACAGGUGCUGCAUGGCCGUCGUCAGCUCGUGUCGUGAGAUGUUGGGUUAAGUCCCGCAACGAGCGCAACCCCUGUGAUUAGUUGCCAGCGACGUGAUGGUGGGGACUCUAAUCAGACUGCCCAGAUCAACUGGGAGGAAGGUGGGGACGACGUCAGGUCAGUAUGGCCCUUACGCCUUGGGCUGCACACGUACUACAAUGCCCAGCACAAUGAGAACCGAGACCGCGAGGUGGAGGAAAUCUACAAAACUGGGCCCAGUUCGGAUUGGAGGCUGCAACUCGCCUCCAUGAAGCCGGAAUCGCUAGUAAUGCUGCAUCAGCUACGGCAGCGUGAAUACGUUCCCGGGUCUUGUACACACCGCCCGUCACAUCAUGGAAGCCGGUAGCACCCGAAGUAUCGUACGAUCCUAAGGUGAAAGCUGGUAACUGGGAUG
rnacentral:rRNA from 1 species